rnacentral:rRNA from 1 species
AUUGAACGCUGGCGGCAUGCUUUACACAUGCAAGUCGAACGGUAACAGGCCUUCGGGUGCUGACGAGUGGCGAACGGGUGAGUAAUGCAUCGGAACGUGCCCAGAGGUGGGGGAUAACGCAGCGAAAGCUGUGCUAAUACCGCAUGUGAUCUGAGGAUGAAAGCGGGGGACCAGGCAGCAAAGUUUGGCCUCGCGCCUUUGGAGCGGCCGAUGUCAGAUUAGGUAGUUGGUGGGGUAAAGGCCUACCAAGCCGACGAUCUGUAGCUGGUCUGAGAGGACGACCAGCCACACUGGGACUGAGACACGGCCCAGACUCCUACGGGAGGCAGCAGUGGGGAAUUUUGGACAAUGGGCGCAAGCCUGAUCCAGCAAUGCCGCGUGCGGUAAGAAGGCCUUCGGGUUGUAAACCGCUUUUGUACGGAACGAAAAGGCUCUGGCUAAUACCUGGGGCUGAUGACGGUACCGUAAGAAUAAGCACCGGCUAACUACGUG